CUGCUGGCAACUGAUGCUGCUUCUGCUCAAGGGUGGAUUGUUGAAGGUAGAGAUGAAGAAAGCUCUGAUGUCAACACUGUGACUGGACUAACAUGGCAACAGAUCGUAGAUGCAUGUGGGUCAGAGGAGGACACAAAACUGUGGAAGAGUGCUACUUUAGCUCAGCCAACAGACAUCGAAGAAGAGAAACUCCCAUCUGAAAAUGAAGAAGAAGAACCCAUAAAUGAGGAAGAAAUAGAAUUUGAAUCUGACAAAGAUGAAGUGAUCACAACUGGUUAUGAGCUGCAAGAGCAAGAAGUAGUCAAUGAUGACUGA
rnacentral:misc_RNA from 1 species